CAACGGUUGUUUGUGAAGGUGACCAUCAAGUGCUCAAUCACAAGGCAACUGAAGAAAAAACAUACGAAUCGUUUUAUCUGGAAUUGCAGACAAAAGCCAAGAGAAAAAGGUUGUGUUUUGAAGCAAAACAGUUAGAGGAGAGUUCAAAAGCAAAUCAAUGAAAUUAAGUUUGUGUUACGAACAUGGCCUCUAAAUGACAUUGAGGUUGCAUAAAGGAAGCUCGCAAAGAUUAAACAGGGUGCACGAUAGGACUUUCCAGGAACACUGAGGCAAACUCAAGCUUGCAUAAUUCAUGUUGACCAGUUGGAGCGAGCUAAUUUGUGCUAGCAACCUAAGCUCACAUUAUGUAAGCGACUUCCAAGUCGCUCAUGAAGUCUUAUCGGUAUAGACGGUUAACUCAGCUGAGUAUUUGUAUUCAUAAUCAAUGUAAGUGAUUAGACAUGUUCAUGGCUUGUGUACGUAGCUUCCAUGCAAAAUAAAUUUACCAACAUGGCCUAGGGUCGAGUUUCAUAUAGGUUACAUAUGAUAGUAUAUGAUAUAAAUAUUUCUAGCAAUGAUCAUCGUUUACAAUU